rnacentral:rRNA from 1 species
GGUCUGUGAUGCCCUUAGUUACCCUAGGUCGCACGCGCCAUACAAUGUGGCGCACAACGAGUUUCCUAGGCCGAUGGGAUUCUAAGAGACUCUGGGCAAUCUGAGAGAGCGCUACGUGACUGGGCUAGACUUUUGUAAUUGUUGGUCUUGAACGAGGAAUGCCUAGUAAUCGUAGGUCAUUAUCCUGCGAUGAUUAUGUCCCUGCCCUUUGUACACACCGCCCGUCGCUCCUGCCGUGGCUCGUGCCGGUGAAGAGGGGGAGGCAGCGUCAACGGAGUAACAUCUGAUUGUACGUGGAACCCCUCUGAACCUUCGCGAGUAGAGGAAGGAGAAGUCGUAACAAGGUUUUCGUAGGUGAACCUGCGAAAGGAUCAUUAUC